UGGGGAAUAUUGGGCAAUGGAGGAAACUCUGACCCAGCGACGCCGCGUGCGGGAUGAAGGCCUUCGGGUUGUAAACCGCUUUCAGCAAGGAAGAAGCGGAAGAGACGGUACUUGCAGCAGCAGCACCGGCUAACUAUGGGCCAGCAGACGCGGUAAUACAUAGGGCGCAAGCGUUGUCAGGGAUUAUUGGGCGUAAAGAGCUCGGAGGAGGUUAGUCAGGGCGGAUGGGGAAAUCGGGGGAUGAGCCCC
rnacentral:rRNA from 1 species